CCUACGGGAGGCAGCAGUGAGGAAUAUUGGUCAAUGGUCGAGAGCCUGAACCAGCCAAGUCGCGUGAGGGAGUACUGCCCUAUGGGUUGUAAACCUCUUUUGUCGGGGAGCAAAAGCAGGACGUGUCCGGCUGUGAGAGUACCCGAAGAAAAAGCAUCGGCUAAGCCCGUGCCAGCAGCCGCGGUAAUACGGAGGAAGCGAGCGUUACCCGGGUUUGUUGGGUUUUAGGGGGGCGCAGGCGGGUUUUUAAGUUAGCGGGCAAAACGUGGGGCUCAACCCCAUCCAGCCGUUGAAACUGGGGAUCUAGAGUGUGCGAGAGGUAUGCGGAAUGCGUGGUGUAGCGGUGAAAUGCAUAGAUAUCACGCAGAACCCCGAUUGCGAAGGCAGCAUACCGGUGCACAACUGACGCUCAGGCACGAAAGCGUGGGUAUCGAACAGGAUUAGAUACCCGUGUAGUC
rnacentral:rRNA from 1 species